rnacentral:rRNA from 1 species
UACGAGGGGGGCGAGCGUUGUUCGGAAUUAUUGGGCGUAAAGGGUGCGUAGGCGGUUUGGUAAGUCUUGUGUGAAAUCUCCAGGCUCAACUUGGAGUCUGCACGAGAAACUGCCGGGCUUGAGUGUGGGAGAGGUGAGUGGAAUUCCUGGUGUAGCGGUGAAAUGCGUAGAUAUCAAGUGGAACACCAGUGGCGAAGGCGAGUCUCUGGACAUUUCCUGACGCUGAGGCACGAAAGCCAGGGGAGCAAACGGG